CCUACGGGAGGCAGCAGUGAGGAAUAUUGGUCAAUGGGCGAGAGCCUGAACCAGCCAAGUCGCGUGAAGGAUGACGGCCCUACGGGUUGUAAACUUCUUUUGUCAGGGAGCAAUUGGGUCCACGCGUGGGCUUAGCGAGAGUACCUGAAGAAAAAGCAUCGGCUAACUCCGUGCCAGCAGCCGCGGUAAUACGGAGGAUGCGAGCGUUAUCCGGAUUUAUUGGGUUUAAAGGGUGCGUAGGCGGAAUAUCAAGUCAGCGGUAAAAAUUCGGGGCUCAACCCCGUCGUGCCGUUGAAACUGAUGUUCUGGAGUGGGCGAGAAGGAUGCGGAAUGCGUGGUGUAGCGGUGAAAUGCAUAGAUAUCACGCAGAACUCCGAUUGCGAAGGCAGCAUACCGGCGCCCAACUGACGCUGAAGCACGAAAGCGUGGGUAUCGAACAGGAUUAGAUACCCGAGUAGUC
rnacentral:rRNA from 1 species